AUGACUGAUACACAUGCUGCAAAAUUAAUGUUUCCCUCAAAAAUUUAUUUUGAUACCUCCCUCCCCAAAACCCAUCCACCUUAUUUUUGUCAGGUUUUUAGAAUUUCUCAUCUGUUCUUUUCCAUUUCUGAAUCAUUUGCAAUUUUCUGCUACAAUAGCUUUACCUACAAUGUUAAAAAGUAAAAUACAUUGACUGAAAAUUUUAUAUAUAAGUGUACACUAGAACUAUUGAUUUAAAAUUCAUUACACAGCAACCAGAAAAGAUAAUUUAGCACAGUAUGGUAUUCUGACUUCAGAAAUAAUUUUCCUCCAAUUAGCCUCUCUAUCUUUUUCUAUUUGUUUUCAUCGUUGCUGCGAAUGCAUAUAAACUUCUUGUUUAUUUGGUUCAGAAGUUCAGUAGUUCUGGUUGUCAGGAGCUGACCCAUCUCUUCGAAUUUUGUAAAUGAGUGCCUCAGCCACGAACCUGCUCCUAUCAUCGUCUAUGCUUCACUGAUCGCACUGCUGAGUCUCACAGACCCUGGGUUCUUUUUCUCAGGAAUAUAUCGCUUUUACUAAGCAGUAUAUAUGUUAUCUCUCCUAUUUCAGACCCCUUGCUCUGCACAUCAAGGCCGAGAAUUCAUCUUAUCAGAGAAGUCAACGAGGAAGUGGAAAAUGUAGUUUAAAUAUUAGGGAAAAAGCAAUUCUCAUUUUCAGAUGAAAUGCAUGAGGUUGGCCUGGCAGGUCAUAGAAAUUUAAAAUAUCUCUGUUUACUCACAUUAGAGAUCCCUCGGUAAGAUAUAUGCAGUAAAAUUUGCAUGCGUGGAUUUCCUAAAUCGGAAGAGAGCUUCAGGGUCCUAUAUGACGUAUAGGAAGUUAUGGUAAUAACUGUUACCCUUUCAAGACUAAGUCACCAUUUCAUUUCCAUAGAUGUUCAGAUAGUUAACUGAAGCGACAAAGAAAAGACAAUUUCAAGCCGUCACUCUUUUUUUGUUUGUUUUGGUGAAGCCAGUGUACAAUUGGAAAUCUGUCCUUUUCUGGGGCAAUUGAUCACUCUCCCAGCUUUACGUAUGAACUUAUGUGUGAACAGAAAGUGAGAGUCUGAGGCCUAUAAGAAUAAGAUAUUCAGGUCCUUCACCUUAGGUUUACUGGGACAUCAGAAGUGGUCACAAGUUGGCUUCAUCUUCCUGUGGGAAGCCCUGCAUGUUACUCCAGAGAAUGGUGUUUAUAACUUUAGACUACAUGUUCUUUGAUUACUCAUCAUAAAUAAAAUAUUAAAUGGGUUACUGUUUUGUCUUAGC
rnacentral:lncRNA from 1 species